rnacentral:rRNA from 1 species
ACUCAAAGGAAUUGACGGGGGUCCGCACAAGCGGUGGAACAUGUGGUUUAAUUCGACGCUACGCGAGAAACCUUACCUGGGCUUGACAUAUUUCUGACCGCUGUAGAAAUACAGUUUUCUAAGUUUACUUAGACAGAUUUACAGGUGCUGCAUGGCUGUCGUCAGCUCGUGUCGUGAGAUGUUAGGUUAAGUCCUCUAACGAGCGCAACCCUUGCUGUCAGUUGCUACGUGUUUUUACACGGCACUCUGGCGGUACUGCCUGGGAAACCAGGAGGAAGGUGGGGACGACGUCAAGUCAUCAUGGUCCUUAUGCCCAGGGCUACACACGUGUUACAAUGGCUAAUACAGAGGGCAGCAAUUCCGCAAGGAGGAGCAAAUCUCAGAAAGUUAGUCUAAGUUCAGAUUGGGGUCUGCAACUCGACCCCAUGAAGUUGAAAUCGCUAGUAAUCGCGUAUCAGCAACGGCGCGGUGAAUACGUUCUCGGACCUUGCACACACCGCCCGU